UACGAAGGGGGCUAGCGUUGUCCGGAAUUAUUGGGCGUAAAGCGCGCGCAGGCGGUCCCUUAAGUCUGAUGUGAAAUCCCACGGCUCAACCGUGGAAGGUCAUUGGAAACUGGGGGACUUGAGUACAGAAGAGGAAAGCGGAAUUCCAAGUGUAGCGGUGAAAUGCGUAGAGAUUUGGAGGAACACCAGUGGCGAAGGCGGCUUUCUGGUCUGUAACUGACGCUGAGGCGCGAAAGCGUGGGGAGCAAACAGG
rnacentral:rRNA from 1 species